UUGUGGUUAAAAAGCUCGUAGUUGGAUCUCGGCGGACUGAGGGCGGUUUGCUUGCUAGUAUUACUGCCCCAUAGUCCGUAGUUUUGCCAGAGGUUUCGGGGUGCUCUUAAUCGAGUGUCCCGGGAUGCUGGCAGGUUUACUUUGAAAAAAUUAGAGUGCUCAAAGCAGGCUAUUACGCCUGAAUAUUCGUGCGUGGAAUAAUAGAAUAGGAAGUCGUUUCUAUUUUGUUGGUUUUCGGAAAUCGACUUAAUGAUUAAUAGGGACAGUCGGGGGCAUUUGUGUUCAAACGACAGAGGUGAAAUUCUUGGACCGUUUGAAGACAAACUACUGCGAAAGCAUUUGCCAAGAAUGUUUUCAUUAAUCAAGAACGAAAGUUAAAGGUUCGAAGGCGAUUAGAUACCGCCCUAGUUUUAACCAUAAACGAUGCCAGCUAGCGAUCUGCGGACGUUUUUUUUGUAGACUCCGCAGGAAGCUUCCGGGAAACCAAAAGCAUUUGGGUUCCAGGGGAAGUAUGGUUGCAAAGCUGAAACUUAAAGGAAUUGACGGAAGGGCACCCACCAGGAGUGGAGCCUGUGGCUUAAUUUGACUC
rnacentral:rRNA from 1 species